GCCAUGCAUGUCUAAGUAUAAGCGAACUUAUACAGUGAAACUGCGGAUGGCUCAUUAAAACAGUUUGAAUUUAUUUGAUGAAUGUAUGAGAAUACUACUUGGAUAACCGUAGUAAUUCUAGAGCUAAUACAUGCAACGACGCCCGACCGUUUCACUACGGAAGGGCUGUAUUUAUUGGAUACCAAAACCAUCCUUCCCUCGGGAAGUUUUGUUUGAUGAUUCACAAUAACUGAUCGGAUCGCCACUGUGGUGGCGACAGGUCAUUCAACAUUCUGCCCUAUCAGCUUUCGAUGGUUGUGUAGUGGACAACCAUGGCCAUAACGGGUAACGGAGAAUCAGGGUUCGAUUCCGGAGAAGGAGCUUGAGAAUUGGCUACUACAUCUAAGGUAGGCAGCAGGCGCGCAAAUUACCCAAUCCCGAUUCGGGGAGGUAGUGACAAAAAAUAACAAUACCGGGCCUUUUUGGGCUUGGUAAUUGGAAUGAGGGAGAGUUAAACGGACCAUCGAGUAUCCAUUGGAGGGCAAGUCUGGUGCCAGCAGCUGCGGUAAUACCAGCUCCAAUAGCGUAUAUUAAAGUUGUUGCAGUUAAAAAGCUCGUAGUUGGACUUGUGUGCGCUGUCCGCGGGUGGCCUGCGCCCAAAAGGGCGUUUCGGUUCGGCCCCGGUGGCGCCUUGAAAUCUGCAGCUGGGGGGACGUUGGCCUUAACUGGUCGGCGACCGCACGCCGGCUGCUCGGUUACUGUGAGAAAAUUAGAGUGUUCAAGGCAGGCAUUGGGUGCAAUUGAAUACAUUAGCAUGGAAUAAUAAAAUAUGGCUCCUGCCGUAUUUUGUUGGUUUUGACUGGUGGGAGUAAUGAUUGAUAGGGACGGUUGGGGGUGCUAGUAUUGAGCGGCCAGAGGUGAAAUUCAUGGAUUCGCUCAAGACUAACUUAUGCGAAAGCAUUCACCAAGGACGUCCUCUUUAAUCAAGAACGAAAGUUGGGGGAUCGAAGACGAUCAGAUACCGUCGUAGUCUCAACCAUAAACUAUGUCGACUUGGGAUCGGCGGUAGUUUUUUCAUUAAGACACUGUCGGGACCACGGGAGAAAUCAAAGUGUCUGGACUCUGGGGGAAGUAUGGUCGCAAGGCUGAAACUUGAAGGAAUUGACGGAAGGGCACCACCAGGAGUGGAGCCUGCGGCUUAAUUUGACUCAACACGGGGAAACUUACCAGGUCCAGAGAUGUAGAGGAUUGACAGAUUGAAGCUCUUUCUUGAUCACUUCGGUGGUGGUGCAUGGCCGUUCUUAGUUGGUGGAGUGAUUUGUCUGGUUAAUUCCGUUAACGAACGAGACCUCCCUGCUAGUGUAGUCGGCUGG
rnacentral:rRNA from 1 species